UCCAACAACCACUCCUUCUCCCACAUCAAGCUCUCCAGCCUUGUCCCACUUUCUUCCCUAUGGGCUCCUGUCUCUAAUAUGUGCCAUUGUUGGCGUUUUAAUACUGGUUUUAGUCGUGAUACAUCAUGUUAACAGAAAAUCUAAAGGUAAUCAGGAAGACGGAGAGGAGAGUAUCACUUACAGCGAUGUUAAAAUAUUACAGCAUAGACAACGGAUAAACAAACCAAGCCAGGAAUAUCCACCAGAACCAGAAGUCGUCUACUCUUCACUGAGGUAGUCCUCCAGUCCCAGCAGAAACCUCCAGCUGUCAGCUCAU